GGUUUUGCUGAUUUUGGUAUUCACAAAGGUGGUUUCAAAUGAAACCAUGGUUUCAACCGUGGGUUUUCGGCAUGAUUUUGAGUCAACUGUUUUAGGUGGUUUCAAACCGUGGGUUUUAGGAAAACCAUGGUUUUUAGGCACAUUGACCAAUCACAGAUCAGUAUUUCGGUACAUUGCUGAGCAAGUGCAUAGACGACGAUAAAUCAGCUUUGCACGAAAUGAAGAGGAGCGAAGCACUUAAUAUCGGUAUUUGCCGAGCUGUGAGAACAUCUAAAUUUUUGAAUGGGUGAAAACAUCUUACAAGUUAACAUGCACAGGCUGCCCUGAGAGACUAUUAAAGGAGGAUUGUAUGAGAGGAAUAUGCCAACAAGAACUGCAAUGAGGAGUCGUUGACAGGAGGAAACUUUUUAAAAGAGACCACACACCACCUCAUCAACAUGCUUGAAGAUGAUCUGAGCCUGAAGAGGGACAAAGGGCCUAGUGAGGCUUUCUGCAAGAUAAUUUCAGGGAAUACAUGGUGAUGAGGCAUCAGUGUUGCAAUCAUCUGUUUGUGAGUGAUCAAAGAUGUUUCGCAAGCCAUAGCAAGAAAAAAGAGGUUUUGUGAGAACUUCAACAACCAGAGAUGAGAUUGAGACUACCCAACAACAACUGUGUGAGUGAUCGAUUGGACCCAUGUCUAUACAAGAAUUCCUGGAGGGAAACAAGCCUUGUACUUUCCUGAAGGGCAAGUCCACCCCAACAAAAAGUUUCUUUGAUAUAAUACAGAAAAUUCCAAUGAGCAUAACACUAAACAUUUCAUCAAAAUUUGAUGUAAAAUGAGAAAGUGUUGACAUUUUGAAGUUUUGCUUAUUUUCACAAAACAGACAUCCUGGUCAGUAUGCAAAUGAGUGACAAAGUGACGUUCUCCAUUCAGUGUUUCUUUUUGUAAUAUACUAGUAUCAUGAUUUUUUUCCCUCAUAAUGUGUAUAAAGUACAGGUGAGAUAUGGUUUGAUUUCUCCCUGAAACUUUUGUAAAAAGCCAUUGUGGCAACCUAUACUCAAUUCGAUGAAGAGUUUUCUCAUAAUUGU
rnacentral:lncRNA from 1 species